rnacentral:rRNA from 1 species
GAUGAACGCUGGCGGCGUGCUUAACACAUGCAAGUCGAACGAAGAUGCCGGAGUGCUUGCACUUUGGCAGACUGAGUGGCGGACGGGUGAGUAACGCGUGGGUAACCUGCCUUAUACAGGGGGAUAACAGUUGGAAACGACUGCUAAUACCGCAUAAGCGCACGGUAUCGCAUGAUACAGUGUGAAAAACUCCGGUGGUAUAAGAUGGACCCGCGUCUGAUUAGCUAGUUGGUGAGGUAACGGCCCACCAAGGCGACGAUCAGUAGCCGGCCUGAGAGGGUGAGCGGCCACAUUGGGACUGAGACACGGCCCAAACUCCUACGGGAGGCAGCAGUGGGGAAUAUUGCACAAUGGGGGAAACCCUGAUGCAGCGACGCCGCGUGAGUGAUGAAGUAUUUCGGUAUGUAAAACUCUAUCAGCAGGGAAGAUAAUGACGGUACCUGACUAAGAAGCACCGGGCUAAAUACGUGCCAGCAGCC